GAUGAACGCUAGCGGCGUGCCUAAUACAUGCAAGUCGAGCGAAGCGGGGACGGGUGGGUAAGACAUGGAUAACCUCCUAUACGACUGGGAUAACUUCGGGAACCCGGAGCUGAAACGGCUAAUGAUCGAUGAAUCCGCGCUGCAUUAGCUAGUUGGUCAGGUAACGGCUUACCAAGGCAACGAUGCAUAGCCGACCUGAGAGGGUGAUCGGCCACACUGGAACUGAGACACGGUCCAGACUCCUACGGGAGGCAGCAGUAGGGAAUCUUCCGCAAUGGGCGAAAGCCUGACGGAGCAACGCCGCGUGAGUGAUGAAGGUCUUCGGAUCGUAAAACUCUGUUAUUAGGGAAGCGGUACCUAAUCAGAAAGCCACGGCUAACUACGUGCCAGCAGCCGCGGUAAUAC
rnacentral:rRNA from 1 species